GUGGGGAAUUUUGGACAAUGGGCGAAAGCCUGAUCCAGCCAUGCCGCGUGCAGGAUGAAGGCCUUCGGGUUGUAAACUGCUUUUGUACGGAACGAAAAGACUCCUUCUAAUAAAGGGGGUCCAUGACGGUACCGUAAGAAUAAGCACCGGCUAACUACGUGCCAGCAGCCGCGGUAAUACGUAGGGUGCAAGCGUUAAUCGGAAUUACUGGGCGUAAAGCGUGCGCAGGCGGUUAUAUAAGACAGAUGUGAAAUCCCCGGGCUCAACCUGGAAACUGCAUUUGUGACUGUAUAGCUAGAGUACGGUAGAGGGGGAUGGAAUUCCGCGUGUAGCAGUGAAAUGCGUAGAUAUGCGGAGGAACACCGAUGGCGAAGGCAAUCCCCUGGACCUGUACUGACGCUCAUGCACGAAAGCGUGGGGAGCAAACAGGAUUAGAAACCCGUGUAGUCC
rnacentral:rRNA from 1 species